rnacentral:rRNA from 1 species
GAGUGGAAUUCCUAUAGCGGUGAGAUGCGUAGAUAUUAGGAGGAACACCAGUUGCGAAGGCGGCUCUCUGGACUGUAACUGACGCUGAGGCACGAAAGCGUGGGGAGCAAACAGGAGUAGAUACCCUGGUAGUCCUCGAUGUAAACGAUGAGGACGAGGUGUCGGGGGUUACCCCGCUCGGUGCCGAAGCUAACGCUAUAAGGACUCCGCAUGGGAAGUACG